rnacentral:rRNA from 1 species
UAAGCAUAUCAAUAAGCGGAGGAAAAGAAACCAACAGGGAUUACCUCAGUAACGGCGAGUGAAGCGGUAACAGCUCAAAUUUGAAAUCUGGGCCUUUCAGGCUCCGAGUUGUAAUUUGUAGAAGAUGCUUCGGGUGCGGCUCCGGUCUAAGUUCCUUGGAACAGGACGUCAUAGAGGGUGAGAAUCCCGUAUGUGAUCGGGGGCCUGCGCCCGUGUGAAGCUCUUUCGACGAGUCGAGUUGUUUGGGAAUGCAGCUCAAAAUGGGUGGUAAAUUUCAUCUAAAGCUAAAUAUUGGCCAGAGACCGAUAGCGCACAAGUAGAGUGAUCGAAAGAUGAAAAGCACUUUGGAAAGAGAGUUAAACAGUACGUGAAAUUGUUGAAAGGGAAGCGCUUGCAACCAGACUUGCGCGGGGCCGAUCAUCCGGGGUUCUCCCCGGUGCACUCGACCUCGCUCAGGCCAGCAUCGGUUUCGGUGGCGGGACAAAGGCUGCGGGAAUGUGGCUCCCCUCGGGGAGUGUUAUAGCCCGCGGUGCAAUGCCGCCUACCGGGACCGAGGACCGCGCUUCGGCUAGGAUGCUGGCGUAAUGGUUGUAAGCGACCCGUCUUGAAACACGGACCAAGGAGUCUAACAUCUAUGCGAGUGUUUGGGUGUCAAACCCAUACGCGUAAUGAAAGUGAACGGAGGUGAGAACCCUUAAGGGUGCAUCAUCGACCGAUCCUGAUGUCUUCGGAUGGAUUUGAGUAAGAGCAUAGCUGUUGGGACCCGAAAGAUGGUGAACUAUGCCUGAAUAGGGUGAAGCCAGAGGAAACUCUGGUGGAGGCUCGCAGCGGUUCUGACGUGCAAAUCGAUCGUCAAAUUUGGGUAUAGGGGCGAAAGACUAAUCGAACCAU